UAGGAGAAGAUGGAGGAACGCGAGGAAGAACCCGAAGAAGGCGAAAAGGAAAUUAGAGAAACACUGCCUGGAAUUUCUCCCAGCCCUAUUCUCUAUGCGAGAAGGAGACGCUAUCGAUAAAAGGCGAGUUACCUCAGAAAAAUAUGCUUGUUUACUAAAUUAAAUACAA
rnacentral:misc_RNA from 1 species